ensembl:lncRNA
AGAGAGAGACUGAAGGACAGGGGUGUGGAGGUAAAGAGAGAGAGACUGAAGGACAGGGGUGUGGAGGUAAAGAGAGAGAGACUGAAGGACAGAGGUGUGGAGGUAAAGAGAGAGAGACUGAAGGACAGGGGUGUGGAGGUAAAGAGAGAGAGACUGAAGGAUAGGGGUGCGGAGGGAAAGAGAGAGACUGAAGGACAGGGGUGUGGAGGGAAAGAGAGAGAGACUGAAGGACAGGGGUGUGGAGGCAAGCUCGACUAGCUCUCUACGUCUGCUGAUUUAUUAAUGACGAUGAACAUCUCUGUC